rnacentral:rRNA from 1 species
GACGAACGCUGGCGGCGUGCUUAACACAUGCAAGUCGAACGGAAAGGCCCUGCUUUUGUGGGGUGCUCGAGUGGCGAACGGGUGAGUAACACGUGAGUAACCUGCCCUUGACUUUGGGAUAACUUCAGGAAACUGGGGCUAAUACCGGAUAGGAGCUCCUGCUGCAUGGUGGGGGUUGGAAAGUUUCGGCGGUUGGGGAUGGACUCGCGGCUUAUCAGCUUGUUGGUGGGGUAGUGGCUUACCAAGGCUUUGACGGGUAGCCGGCCUGAGAGGGUGACCGGCCACAUUGGGACUGAGAUACGGCCCAGACUCUCACGGGAGGCAGCAGUGGGGAAUAUUGCACAAUGGGCGGAAGCCUGAUGCAGCAACGCCGCGUGCGGGAUGACGGCCUUCGGGUUGUAAACCGCUUUCGCCUGUGACGAAGCGUGAGUGACGGUAAUGGGUAAAGAAGCACCGGCUAACUACGUG